GCCUCACUCCUGUGUCAAGCAUGCAGAAAUAAAAGAGAAGAAAGCUUUCUUAAUUGUCUGUGCUUUGUCUCAGCCUGUUGUCCCAAAGCCUGCAAGAUAUUCUUUAUUUAGCUUAGCCCAGCUCUACCCAUGAAUGUCUAUGGAUGCAUCUGCUAAAUACUGAAGGAGAGCCCGGAGGCACCAUCUCCCCGGCCGCGCAGUGACCUGGAUUAGAAACUGGGCAGGAUGAGGAGACCACUCCAGCAUGUGAAAGACGUGAAGGUUUUCAAAGAACGAGGUCAACACACACUCACUUAAGGGUUGUGUCAUUCAAGAGCACCGCUGGAUUUGAUCAGAAGGUGGGCUCUGUCCGAUGCUACCCAGGCUCAGAGGUCUAUGGAGAACCAGCUCUCUCUUCAUCCCAUCUGCACUGGGGAGCUGUAACCCAUGGCUGCGACUCUCCAAGGAGUAGAAGGUGAUGAGCACAUUUGAGGUCUAGCUAAAGCAAGUAGGUGCAGAGGGAUGCCAAAUGACCUCACAGUUUUUGAAACUUUUUGGAAUACCUUUCUACAAGAUAGG
rnacentral:lncRNA from 1 species